UCUUUGACCGCUCCUUUCAACCCAUUCGUGGCUGACGAGUGUGUAGAUACGACCAGUCGUCACUUCGUCAACCCAUUGAAGAGAUAUGACGUGUACACCACAGACUCCUGCCGUUCAGAGUGCAUGGUUGAUUUCAUACUACAAAACUGUGGUUGCAGAUUUUAUCUUCACCCAGGAAAUGAGACAAUGUGCACAUUCCAAGAAACGUCCGAGUGCUACAAUUUUAACAUAGGGUUGUUUGAACCGUCGCUGUGCAACUGCACUCCACCCUGUCAUCAGACGGAGUUCGCCAUGUCUACCUCGUGUGGCACAAUACACAAGUUAUUAGUUUGAUAUAUUCCAAACACCAAAAUAAACGCGA